rnacentral:tRNA from 1 species
AAGCGGGGUAGUAAUCGGCAUAUUGAUGCCCCUUUCAUGGGAUUCGGGGGUUCAAAUCCCUUCCCCCUUACCA